UCCUAUGUUUCAUGCCUAACGUGACGGAAAUUGGCCCCGGAUGAGUCCUAAGUUUUGCCUCACCAAUUCGUGGGUGUUAGGUUGACGUGGAAGUACUGCCCAUUCUCCCUGAUUGCUCCGCCCUUUUGCGUUGCAAUCGUGGCCCAUGGGUUGCUACUAGUUCCCUCGGAUGCAGAACCUUUGAGGGGUGCAUGGUAUGCUGCUGUUGUUUACCCCCCAAGGCAUUUAUCGAUCGAUGCGUAUGACAGCUGCGCCCCGUUUUGGUCCCCUCUCCAAAUUGUUUGGAUGGGUCUCAUGCGGUGCCGGUGUCGCGAAGGAAUGCUACC
rnacentral:misc_RNA from 1 species